UACGUAGGUGGCAAGCGUUUGUCCGGAUUUACUGGGCGUAAAGAGCGCGCAGGCGGUCGUUCAAGUCGCGUGUGAAAGCCCCCGGCUCAACUGGGGAGGGUCACGCGAUACUGAUCGACUCGAAGGCAGGAGAGGGUAGUGGAAUUCCCGGUGUAGUGGUGAAAUGCGUAGAUAUCGGGAGGAACACCAGUGGCGAAGGCGGCCAGCUGGGCCGGACCUGACGCUGAGGCGCGAAGGCGUGGGGAGCAAACGGG
rnacentral:rRNA from 1 species